AAUGUUGCGAUCCUAUGGGAAACCUUAAAUAUUCAAACUUCCCGAAGUAAAACAUUAUAUUAGGGAAAGGAAAGGAAAUCAACCGAGACUCCGAAAGUAAUGGUGAGUGAAAUCGGAAUAGCCUAAAUAAUUCUUUCUAAAUUGAAACUUUACCACAGAAGGUAUGACAGUCCUGUAGCUUUAAAAAGAAUUAAACCAAUAAGUACGAUGAGAGAAAACUUGUCGGAACACAGGGGAACCAUCCUCUAAGGCUAAGUAUUAUAAAUUUAGCGAUAGUGAAAACAGUACCGUAAGGGAAGUUAAGUUGAAAAGUAUGUAUUAAUUGACAUAGUGAAAAAGUCUUGAAUUAGUAACUCUAUAAGCAGUGGAAAUUCUUAAACAAAGAAUGCCCACGUACCUUUUGCAUAAUGGGUAACUUUGCUUGCCCAAAAGAAUUGUGAAGUUCUUUAAAACACUGACUCAUGACCCAAUCACUUAAAUGUUUUAUCUUUAAAGUUUGGUCGGUAUGAUUCUAAAAUAAAAAUCAUGCUAACGGUUAAAGCCUAAGGAUAUCUCAAUAUCUAUGGUAAACCCGUGGGAAGCUAAUAAAUCGUAGGAAUAAAUAAGUUAAUUAAUUUAACUCUUUUUAUUUAGCCCUGUAACGACUGACUCGAAAGAGGAGAAAAUGUCUAAAAACAUUUUAACACGUCAGCACUCAAAUAUUCCAGAGCAUUAUGGUAGCAUAAAUUGCUUCAGCACAUUCUUAUCGCAUUGAAUCUUAAAUGCUAUGCAACCUAACAUGUUUUUGAGUUGAAGGUAUAGUCUAAUCCAGUAUUAAAAUAUUGGUAUCAAUGCAGCAAGUUAAUAGGAGUAGCAAGGUAAAAAGCCCUAGUGAAAACGACUGUACUAAUUCUAGUAUCGGAUAAGUUACUUCUAUUAGACCCGAAGCUAGGUGAUCUUACCAAGACCAGAUUAUAAUGGAUCGAACGGGUGAAUGUUGCAGUAUUCUCCGAAGAGUUUUGGUAAGCGGCGAAAGACCAAUCUGACCUAGAUGAUAGCUGGUUUUCUACGAAACAUAUGUUAGUAUGACCUCUAUACAAAAUUUAUGGUGGUACAGCACUCCAUUCCAAACACUAUAAAAAGUGUUUAGGUUGAGGGGAUCUAACCAAUCUUACCAAUGGAAUAGAAACUCGAAAUGACAUAAAUUGAUGAUAGAGUUUCAGACUACUCAUGAGAAAGUUGAGUAGUCAAGUCGGAAACAGCCGAUAACACGAUUACAAGGUCCCAAAUGAUUAUUAAUUGAAAUUAAGGAAGUAACAAAUCGAAUACAGCGAUGCUAUGAGCCUGAACUAGCAACUACCGGGUUCAUAUUAAAUAAAUUUACCAUAUGCAAGAAAGCUAAAUUAUGUUUUUGCUUGUAUUUUCUAGAAGCUAGAAGAGAAAGUCCUACGUCGUGCUCGCUAUCACUCCUAGCCAAAAACAACGUAGGGCCAGUGAUAGAUCUAGAGCUAAAAUAAAACAUCUGUAAUUUUGUGACUUGCACCUGCGCUGUGAUUUGUCUCUGCUUAAGUGUUUUUUACACACAACAAGGCAAAUUCACUUGAAGGUCAACGACUUUAUGUAAAAACUUCUCCCAUGCUUUAAACUACAUGGACCUGGAGUAUGACAAAGUCUAAAAAAUUUAGGGCUAAAUAAAUUGUAAAACUAAAACUAGGUAUAGGGUAGUAGCUAUUCAAGGUAAAGAACGUUGUAACAACGCAGUCGCCUAGAUUGUUGCGCCGAUAAUUUAACGGGUCUAAAUAAUCAACCGAUAUCGUGUUUAUUUUGAAUACAAGCUAUUGUUUUUAUUCUUAAUAUAGGUAGUAGAACAUUCAGUAAAACUUAUUAAAUAACAGUGUUUCAUUGUUGUUUAGGUAACUGAAGAGAUAAUGCUGACAUUAAAUACUGGUGUCAGUCAAAAAAUAAAUUAAAGUUUCCGUUUCUUUCUUUAUUAACAAAACCCCUUUUAAACGUUAUCUGAAAGCACGCAAGGGGGCAAGGACAGAAACAGGAGAAGGAGUAACGUAAAAAGAAGUUAUAAUACUUCUCGCCGAAUACGAAAGGGUUUUAAGGAAAGGUUAAACCUCCUUAUUUUACAGCGGCCUCUAAGGACCAAAACCACAGUUUAGUCUGAUGAGUAUUUAACUGAAAGUCCAAUUCUUCACACUGGACCAGGAAAAAUAAGUUAAAUUCUACCGUACCCUAAACCGACACAGGUUCGUUUGUAUAGAAUACUAAGGCGUAGAGCUAAAAGUUGUUAAGGAACUCGGCAAGUUUUCCUCAUAAGUUCGACGAUAAGAGGAACCUACUUAACCUAUCGUUUCUUCCUGCCUCCUUGGCUUGCGAAGAAAUACACAGGUUAGUGGGUGUCACAUAAGCGGAUGCCACGACUGUUUACUAAAAACAAAAUUCAGAGCAAUGAUUCAGAUCAUAGUAUUCUGAAUGAAAUUUGCCCAAUGCCCUUAAUAUAAGUGAGGUAAUGAAUAGUUACUGAUCGAAAAUCGGGUUAAUAGCGGUCAAAUAGAAAUAGGCCGAGUGUCUUAAGGUAAAUUCUUAGAGCUCAAUCUAGCGCUAGUGAUUUAAACUUAUAUGUUAAAUAAUAGUUCUUACGACACUAUUCACUAUAGAUAGUAAAACAAAACAAUUAAUGUUCUCCGACCUCCAUGUCCCUCCUGAGUUGAAUUAAAUUGAAUAAAAAUCAUAUAAUAUCUCCCUAAAUCAGCCCGUUUGUUCACAGUCCAUGCCGGGCGUUGAAGGUCAACUUUCUUUCACUCACUUACAUUUUUAUAAAAUGUUUUGGUUUUCACUAUUGCUUAACAAUGAGGAUCCUAAGGUAGCAAAAUCAAUUGGCCAUUAAAUGUGGUUUAUUUUUUAACCUCUAGUAAAAUCGGUGAGACGUUUUUUCAACUUUACGUGUUCCCAAAUCAAAGAAAAUAAUUCUGUACUAUUAAGUUUGAAGACUCUUUUGUUUACUUUAACCUUUGUUUUUUAGCUUAAUAGAUUCUAUCUUAAUUCUUUGGGUAAAAUCUGUAUUAUUGGUUAUCAGGCCUCAUUACAAACAUCACUAUAUUCUAAAAAUGUUCUUUAGCCCCCACCUCCAUCGCCGGCGCGGCGAUGGAGGGCUGGGUGUUUUUGCCACGGGCCGAGGCAUCCCAGGCAAGCAACUUUAUAAUCGAUUUGUAAUAUUUUAAAAUUACAAUAUUUCAAUCAAAAUCCUUUUGCUGGUAUCAAUAAUGUAACGAUGGCGUCACUGUCUCAACAACUUGCUCAGUGAAAUUGAAUUGGGGGUGCAGAUGCCCUCUACUUGCUGUUAGACAAGAAGACCCUAUGCAGCUUUACUGUAGUUAGUUAUCACUUGGAUCUACAACAACCUUUGUUAAUAGUGAUUAGGGAAGUCGAUAGACGAAUUGUGGAAUACCUCAGAACGAAGGUUGGGUCAAGGUUUACCUAAAAUCAAUUAGGGAUCGAUGACUAAUGGGCAGUUUGACUGGGGCGGUCGUCUUUGAUAAAGUAGCAAAGUACACCCAAAGAUUAAAAUUAUAAACAAUAUCAAUAAUUUCUUUAGAUCUCUAUUGAUAUCCAAACUUAAAGUUUCUAAAUUAAAAUUAGCUGUGAUCGCGUUUGCUUUUGCUUCGCGUAAUUACUUCUUUAUUUUGUUUCGAAAUCUUCUCCUUUAAUAAAGGUAGAGCUAGAAAAUUGUAUGGAAAACAAUCUACCGGUGAGAAAGGUAGUAAUCGGCGUAAUGGCGGAAAGCUUGCCUAACUGAAAGACCUAGAAGUCGGACAGAUACGUAAGUAGGGCAUAGUGACCCUUCGCUUUUGUAUGGAAACAGACGAAGAUCAAUCGAUAA
rnacentral:rRNA from 1 species